rnacentral:rRNA from 1 species
UACGUAGGGACCAAGCGUUGUUCGGAUUUACUGGGCGUAAAGGGCGCGUAGGCGGCGUGGUAAGUCAGCUGUGAAAUCUCCGAGCUUAACUCGGAACGGUCAGCUGAUACUGCUGUGCUAGAGUACAGAAAGGGCAAUCGGCAUUCUUGGUGUAGCGGUGAAAUGCGUAGAUAUCAAGAGGAACACCUGAGGCGAAGGCGGGUUGCUAGGCUGAUACUGACGCUGAGUGCGCGAAAGCUAGGGUAGCAAACGGG